CGCGAAGCGAUAUGAGCUAAAGAGUAUAUAUAAUAGUGGGAAAGUGUUGCAGAACGUAAAGAGUGCUCUUUAGGAGUGAUAGGCCUCACAAAUAUCGCGAUAUCUUGUUUACCUUGAAACUUAUUUAGUAUGAGACACAUCUAAAGUGAUAAUAUUUUAGAUCGAAAUUAACGCAUACGAUAUACGUUUAUCUAGUGUAAAAGCGCAUAAAUUACUAUAGCACUAUUAAUUUAUAAUAAUUGUUUAAAGUAAAGGUAAGUAUUUUAAUGAAAAUGUAUAUCUAUAAUGUUAAUAUAAGUAAAUAUAAAAGUAUACUAAAUGAACUCGGCUAAAAUUUCUCGACUGUUUAUCAAAAACAUAGCUAGAUGUAUUUAUAUUUAGUGCCUCCUGCUCAAUGAUCUAUUUUAAUAGCCGCAGUACUCUGACUGUGCAAAGGUAGCAUAAUCAAUUGGCUUAUAAUUGAAGUCUGGGAUGAAAGGAUUCACGGGGAAUUACUUUAUCUAGUGUUUAGUGUGAAAUUGGAUUUCAAGUGCAAAUACUUGCAAUUAAAUGUUAGACGAGAAGACCCUAGAAAUUUGUACACACGUUUAGUUGGGGCAACGAAGUAGGAUGUAACCUACAUUUUCGGACAAGAAAUUGAUUAGGAAGAAAAAAUUACUCUAGGGAUAACAGCAUAAUUUAUAAAAGUUUGUGACCUCGAUGUUGGAUUUGGGAAUUAUAGUCUAGAA
rnacentral:rRNA from 1 species